AAGUUAUCUAGACAUGCCACCAUUAUUCUACCCACCAAGUGUGACAGGAUACAAUACUUCAUUAGAGGAUCAAGACUUUUACUUCGUAUGGCCGCGCAAAGUCUGGUAGCUGUGGCUAGAUCUUUCAUUGAUGUUGCUAAUUAUGUUUACACUGGAAAGGUCUGCAUCGCGAGGCCAGUGGGGUCAAUAAUAAGAUACCUCUUAUGAGGGCAAUUAUAGUAGUAUUUAUAGUGGUUUUAGGUCCAGAGAUAGAGGUUUUCAUAGUCAUUAUCCUCAAUAGCAUCAUUAAAAUUCAUCAAGGUUAAUCUAGUAGGCCUGUUCUAGCAUCGCUUCAAAUUUUAGAUGGAGGCCAGCCUGGUUAUAGUGAUUUCUACAGAAAGGCAGUGGUCAACUAUCGAUAGGUAUUCAGGUAGGGUCUUUGGGUUGAGAAGACUAUUUCGGGUAAGCGGGAGCUUCUAGUGAGGUUAGAGUGCCCUAGGCAUGCUAUGAGUGUAGGUUUAUUGGUUAUUUUGCCAAUGAGUGACCCCAUUUUGGGAUACUUAAGCCUUCUGUACAGUGUGUUGCACCGAUCAGAUCAGUGCCAUCUUGAUACAAUAAAAGCUAGGAAGGCACAAAACACACUCCAAAAAAGUCCACGAAUCUUAAGGAUCCGAGGACCUUUUUGGAGACCACGCUCAAAAUUCACUACCAAAAACAAGAAUACAAGAUAUAAUGGUGUAAUUGACACCAAACAACCACAAAAAGUUAAGAACAAGGAGAUACCAACAACAACAACAAGAAGUUAACAACAAGUCACGAUUUCACUAGAACCAAGAACAAAUGGUUACAAGUUACAAACACUAACAAGAUUACAAUAAAAGUAAAGAGAUAGAUAGAUAGACCAAUGGUUGGUAUAAUCUUAAGAACCCAAGAACUUAUUCCACUCUUGGACCCGUAACACCACACAUAAUAAAGACCUAUAUCUUACGUGACACAAGAUCGGAUUCCACCUCUCAAGCAUCGGCGUUUCCAAUCAAAACACAAUCAAUAGUGAUUCCACACUAGUUUCUUAUCCUAGUUUCGGGUGGGAACUCUUCUCUACUAGAGAGAGAGAUUGUUACAAGAGUUCUACACUCACAAAUAUCUUCAAAAAUUAAGUAAUAAAACCCUACAUUGUUCUUUAUAUAUUGUAUUACAUAAUAGAAACUAAAAUGACCAAAAGGACCUUAAGUGAUGGGCGCCCAUCAAGUGUAGCCAAGUGUAGUGUUUGGACAGUUUUAUGGAGCAUAAUUAGGUCCUCUUUGGCUCUUCAAUUGCACACACCAAGUCUCAGACCCAACAUGCACUCCCAUAAGUCUAAAUCUGUGAUUAUUCUUGUAUAACCCUCUCCAUCUUGAGAGGUAUUUUCCUAUAAAUUCAUGGCUUCACCUCGUUCAAUUGUCCACUGCAAAGAAACCCACUCAAAACAGCCCGCAAAACAUGUAAUGGCUCAAAAUUGUCCACAAAAGCAUGAGGAGCCCGAGAUUUUCAUAACAAAAGUCUUGGCCAACAUCUUUAUUUUGACCUUCGGCUUCCUCUCUAUCUUGAGCCUUGUCUUCAAUCUCAUUCGAAACACAUUCCAGCUCUUUUAUUGGUGGUGGGUUCCUUGUGGAUUUCUAUGUCUUCCCCUCAACUUCUCUUCUAUCAUAUAAGCAUCAUUGUAGACUCUAUUUUUUUCAUCUUUCUUUCUACCUUACUCCUCCUCUACAUGGAUAUAUUUAUUUUGGUGAAGUGGACUUUCGAUUGAGAAGAAUGAUUUGGUAAGGUGGAGCUUCGAAUGUGGAGCUUGGAUAGGAGGAUAUUGACUUCCAAGUCCUUGUUGGACUUGAUCGAAUUAAGGGGGAAGUGACUUAUUUAGGUCUUAAGUUUGAGGACAUUUGUUGGCUUGGCUUAUGUCUAUGUCAUUUGGUAGUGGUCUUGGAGGAAUGAUCGUUUGAGGUAAAGUUUUGGGAGUAGAAACAUAAGAGUUCCUUUGAAUUUCCACUUGAUCCAACCUCUCAAGUAUAGUAGACAUGAUCUACAACUUGGUUUUGGCAACCCUUUCUAUCUUUGACUUCAAAGUCAAAUUCUUGAAGUAGCAGCACCCAUCUGAUCAACCUUGGUUUUGCAUCCGUUUUUGCAUCAAAUAUCUCAAGGCUGCAUAGUCAGUGUGGACCACCACCUUGGUUCCUAUAAAAUAAGCCCAGAACUUCUCAGAAGCAUAGGCUACUUCAAGAAGUUCCUGUUCUAUGACGGUGUAGUUCUUUUGAGUUCCAUUCAGCGCUUUGCUAGCAUAAUAGAUUGGAUAAAACAAUUUGUCUUUAUUUUAUCCCAGCACAGCUCUAAGGGAAACACCUCUUACAUCACACAUGAUCUCAAAUAGUUUUGACCAAUCUACUAAAACAAUAGUAAGGGCAUCAACCAACUUCUCUUUAAGUCAUUCAAAUGUCUUCAAACAAUCAUCAUCAAAGGAGAAUUUGAAUUCCUUCUCCAAGAGUUUGCAAUCUUUGAGAAGUCUCUUAUAAACCUCCUAUAGAAGCCAGUAUGACCAAGAAAUCUACGCACCCCCUUCAUUGAAAUAGGAGGUGGAAGAUUUUCUAUAAACUCAACUUUGGCUCGAUUAACUUCAAUCCCUUUUGCUAAAAUUUUGUGUUCGAGAACGAUGUCUUUAUUCACCAUGAAGUGACAUUUCUCCCAAUUAAGCACAAGAUUGAACUCCUCACACCUCUGCAAGGCCCUACUCAAAUUUACCAAACAUAUGUCAAACUAAUCUCUUACCACAGAAAAAUCAUCCAUAAACACCUCCAAGGUGUCUUCAACCAUAUUUGAGAAUAUCUAUAUUAUACACUACAGAAAAGUGGCAGGUGCAUUGCAAAACCCGAAAGGCAUCCUCUUAAAAGUAAAUAUGCCAUAUAGGCACGUGAAUGUCAUCUUCUCCUGAUCUUUAGAAGCAAUCAUAAUCUGGUUGUAACCAGAAUACCCAUCUAAGAAAUAGUACCAACCCUUUUCCCACUAGCUGAUCAAGCAUCCGAUCCAUGAAAGGCAUUGGGAAGUGGUCUUUCAAUGUCCAUGAGUUGAGUUUUUUUGUAAUCCAUACAAACCCUCCACCCAGUAAUAUGUUUGAGUGGGAGCAACUAUUUUUUCUGUUAGCCACCACUAUCAUGCCCCCUUUCUUGGGCACACACUAAAUAGGACUUACCCACUUACUAUCAGAGAUGGGGUAUACCACUCCUGCAUAUAGCCACUUGAUGAUUUAUUUCUUAACCACCUCUUGCAUAGGUGGGUUUAAACACCGCUGAUGCUCAAUAGUUGGGACAUAAUCCUCUUUUAGUUAGAUUUUAGGUAUGCAUAUACCAGGAGAAAUACCGAUAAUGUCUGUAAUCGUCCAACCAAUAGCCCUCUUAUAUCUCUUAAGAAUAGAGAGAAGGGCUUCCAUCUGUUGUUUACCUAAGUCAGCUAUAAUAAUAACAUGGAGUGUAUUCCCACAGCCCAAGAACACAUACCUCAAAUGACCAGGCAACUCCUUCAGCUCCAAAGUGGAUGGCUCUUCAAUAGACGGCUUGGAUGGUCGACUGGGAUGAUUUUUCAAGUCCAAAUCUAGCUUCUUGGGUGCAUAAGAAUAAGACCCCAUGCCUGUCCAGGCACACACAGUUUCCUCAUAAUCUUCAAUAUUGUCUUGAUCAAAAUUCACUAAUACGACAGCUAAAGUCUCCACAACAAAUUUUUCUUCUAUAGGUACUUCCUGCUCCUCCUCAUAAUAAAAAUUCACAAUAGAAAAUACGCUCAUAUCUUUAUGCUAUUUCAUGGAUUGGUAUACAUUGAAUUGAACUAUUUCAUUAUUCAGCCUGAACAGUAGCCCAUUUUCCUUUAAAUCAAUAAGCACACACCCAGUUGUGAGGAAAGGUCUACCCAAGAUUAUGGGCACCUCGAAGUCUACCUCGCAAUUGAGAAUGACAAAAUCAGCUGAAAAUAUGAAACUGGCCACCUUAACUAAUACAUCAUAUAGAAUCCCCACAGGCCGCUUCACAGACCUGUCUGCUAUAACAAAUCUCAUGUUCGUGGGAGUAGGAUCCCCCAAACCCAGUUUCUUAUACAUAACAAGUGGAAUUAAUUUUAUACUAGCUCCAAAAUCACAUAGAGCUUUUGCAAAAUCAAGAGGCCCAAAGUGCACGGGAUAGUAAAUGCUCCUGGAUCUGCCUUCUUCUGUACCAACGGCCUUGUGGAAAUAACGCCAUAAUGAUGGAGAUUGUCCAUUGUCUCAUAUCUAACUGUCCACUUCUUUAUAACAAGGUAUUUCAUGAACUUAGCAUACCCGAACAUUUGCUUCAAUGCCUCUACCAAUAGCAAGUUGAUUGUCAACUGCUUAAGCAUGGACAUAAACUUGCCAAACUUUAUGUAGUCGGCCUUUUUUUUUCAACCGAUGGGGAAAUAGAGGAGGUGGUUUUGGGAGCGUAAUAACCACCAAUUCAGUCUUCUUUCCCCUGCUCUUCUCCAACUCAUCAACCUGCUGAUGGUUGGAUGGUGUAUUAUAAAUAACUUUAUCCAGUUUCUCAAACUCCACUGGAUAAGUUUCUUUAUGCUUAAUAUCUUUUGCAAUCACAGCUUUGCCCACAGACGGGCAUGUUAAAACCUUAUCACUCCGUAUGGUAAUUUUCUUGCAGGAGCUAUUAUUUCGAUGAUUCUGAACUGUAUCACUUGGAAAAGUUUUGCUCUUUCUUUGAUUUAAUGCUACUGAGAAUUGGCUCACUUGCUGCUCUAACUAUUUGAUAGAAGUAGAGUGAGUUUACCAACUGACUCAUAGAAGACAAAUCACUCUUUAUAGUAGUUACCUAAGAGUUGGUAGUCUCAACUCACUUUAAUAAUUUCUCUAUCACGUCCUCUAUAGAUAUCUUGCCAGAGCUAGUUGUAGCAUUAUCUUUGCAUCCAGGAGGUAUAUAUAGUCCACUUCUAUCAUUUUUGAUCUUCUAGUUCCCUUGAUCUCUAUCUUUGUAACCAACUUUGUCAUAAUAGUUCUGAACUUAAUUUCCUUGGCUAUUGCCUUAGAAACAUCCCUGAUUAUUUUGAUAGUUUACCUGUUCUUCCGAAUCAGAAUCAACUUUUCCCUAGGAUGCAACAACUUUUACCUUCUCUAUUUUUCGAGACAAUAGAUGCUUAGUCAGCAAAUCUGUAUCUGUCUGUGUCUUUAAAUAUGCCAUAUCCUGGUCAUGUUUUUCUUCCUUCUUGCAUUGCUCUAUAGUCAUACUACCAGACACAGUAGGGCAUACUAUCAUAGAAUCCCUGGUAUGCUAAGCUCUACUCUAUUUGGUUAUUUGAUUGAGCAUCUCUGAGGCCUCUGGAAAAGUAAGGUCAAAAAAUGAUCCUCCUGCAUCAUUAUCCAUGACUGGCUUCGUAAUAGAGUUCAACGCCCGAUAAAGAGUCUUCGUCAAAUAAAUAUCCAUCAUGUUAUGGUUUAAGCAUUGCAUCAACUUCUUUUUAAACCUCCCCAGGUCUCAUGAAGAGCUUCAGUGGGAAGCUGUUGAAAGUUACUGAUUUCAUCCAUCAACUGUACCCUUCUGGAUAGUGGAAAGAACCUUUCUAGGAAAUCCUCUUUCAACUGCCUCCAGUUGGUUAUAGAGUCGGGAGUCAAUUUAUUUAGCCAUAGUGUCACCUCUCCAGACAGACGAAAAAAAACAUAGGCGGAUAGCUUUCUGACCCAUUUUUAGAUUAUCAAAAGACUUACAAAUGGUGACAAAAUUCACCAAAUGCAUGUUUGGAUCAUCUCCAGGAAGACCACUGUACAACCCCUUAAGAUGAAGGAGUUGAAUCAUCGUACUGGUAAUAUUAAAUUUAGCUCCUGGUGCUAGAGGUAGAGGAAUCAUAGAUCCAGUUGCACCUACUCCAUCCAUUCCAUAUUCAUCGCCGUUUAGAUCAAACUACACCGGUUGAUGCUCUUGCCUUGCCUUAAAAGGGCAAUUUCUGUUUACAUUUCGAUUCACUGGUGCAACCGUAUUUUCUGUAUGCCUUUGAUUAACAGGAUCUAACAAGUCGUCAUCCCCUAAAUCAUUAUCAGGAUUAGGAUGACGUGCCUGCUGGCUGUUAUUCUACUAAUUUAGUUAAGCUCUAGCCAGAGCGGUUAGUCUUUCAGUAUCUUGGGGAUCUGCCAUUCUGCUAAUUAACUGUGGUUCCAGAUGUAUUGGUAAUAAUGGUGCUCCUGAUCUCCUUGUACUUGGCAUACACAAUAACUUCCCUACAUAGAACAAAAACAACAAACAAAGUAAAAUUUAGGCAACUUGACCAAAGGUCAAUUAACAAGCACAAACUUAAUUGACAACCGUACUCCCAGACAAUGGCACCAAAAUUUGAUACGCCUAAAUUACACCUCUCUUGCGAGAGAGUAAGCGGUCGCUGUCAAAUAUAGAACCCAAUUAGGUUGGGUAUCGAAUCCCACAGGGAAUACUGUGUUCACUAAGUAUUGUGAUUGUUAUUAAACUAUUGAUCUAAGGUUCCUGAGUAAAAAGGGGUUUUGAUGUGUUAAUAAUGCUCUUUCGUUCUUGUAUCACACAGUGGUCCAGCUAACGAGAGUUAAUGCACGUGUAAUUUUAAUGAAAAAGAGUUAACUAGAGUUAUGCUCACCAAGAUGUUCAAACAGUUCGGGUUGUGAACUUGUGCUUGAAUUCUAACUUAUACUUUCAAUUGCAAGAAGUAUUGAAUUCUAAGAAUUACCCACUUGUUUCUCAACCUAAUAGGUGCUUUACCAUUUUCUCCUUUUGAACUUAAAGGAUCCAUGUAUAACUCAAUAGAACUCUCAUGAGGGUUGAUCCCAUUAGGGCAUCAACCCGUGACCCAAAGGGUAAACCUAUGGAUUUCAUAUGAAUCACCUCUUUUCCCAACAUCCACUUUCUUGUUAGCAAAAGUGGUAUUCCUGGGCUCACUUCUAGAGUUUUCAACCAAGAGAUUUCAUUAAAAUGAAAAGAGAUUCGUCCAAUUUUGAUAGAUGAUAGAAAUUAAAUGGAUUCAUAAUCCCAAAUAGUUCUCUACAUCAAGGCUACCAUAAUCCUAUUUAUGGGAGUUUAGCUACUCAUCUCCAUAUAAGAUAUCAAAGAUAUAUUGAUGUGCAUAAAUAACUUUAAGAGAGUACUUACAUAAGUUACAAUACUGUUCUUCUCAAUCUUUAAUGAAAACAAAUAGAGAAUAAUAAUCAGAUCUUAAUUUCUAGCUUCCAAUCUCCAAAAAAAGUGUUACACAGCUCUCAAAUAGAGAAGAAAGUAUGAUACUACUGACAAAAGAUGCAGAAUAAAACCUAAUACUUGGUAUUUAUAUGUUUUCAGAACUGGGAUUUUAAAAUUCAAACUCGGUGUUGCCGCUUCAUGCUCGACGAGUCGAGCGACGAUUUGUUGCUGGUCAUUUUUCCUUUGUUUUGUCCAGUUUAUCCAAGUUAUUCUUCAUACUUAGUUCUUAUCUUGAAAUCACUAAAACACCAUGUUAAAUACAACAAUCGUUGCUUGAAAACACAUAAUUCUCCAAAGAAAAAGGCCUAAAAUGUCACGUCAAAAGCCGUAACAUAAUACUUCUCCUUAAAAAAUGGGCUCUUGUUUUAUAGAAAGUAGUUGAGAUGGGAUGUAAAGUCUCUUUGGUUUUUGGGGGUCUUUCAAGACUUAACAAGUACUAAACCUUGUCUUUUACCUUUCUAAGAUCUAAAGUUCACUUUAAGGUUAACAAGUUGAUGAAUAUGGUGAAGAACUUUAAGAACACAACAACCACAACAAGAACAACCAACAACAAUAUUCCAAUAACAACAACAAGUACACAAUAACAAGGUCAACAAUCUCACGGCCAAGACCACAAGGAAAGCAGCAACAAUCGACCAACUCCCCUUUGUGUUGUGUGAUUGGUUUUGCAAGAUAUGUAGGUUGUAAUGAAUAACAAGAACACAACAACAACCUUUCAAGAUCUAAAACAACACCAAAAUACAAGGCCUUCAACUCGGUCAAGGCUAGAUGCAACACCUCAAUUUUUUGAACCUGAACACUACACGGUGCUCAUGACCCCGAAGGACCACAAGCUAAACCCAUGACUGAUAUCUACACCUUUACACUGUAUAAUAUAUGAAUAUAAAUGCAGAAACAUAAACUGAAAGGCCAUAAGGUUCAAUAAUGAACAUAAUUUGAAUAAAAACAAUGUCUGAAUAAAGCAGUAUCAUAAUACCAAAAUAAAACUGAAAUACUGAAGUCUGAAUCUAGUCUGUAAUCUAGUCUGAAAGACUCUAACGGUCUAAAUUAGAGAGUGGAAGGAACAUGUCUCUAAAUAACUCAUAACUACUGAAAGCUAACUGAAAUGCUGAAGUAAUAAAGUAGUAAUCAUGUCCUUGGAGAAUGAGGACUUACUGCUAAGUCUGAUUGAUGAAAUCUGCAAUGCUACUGCUGCUUUAGAACUCGUGUCUUUGAACCUAUGGCGUAAAAUAAAACAUCAUAGCGCAAAUGCAUUAGUACGACUGAAUGUACUGAGUAUACGAGUGAGGUAGGCUAAAUAUAAAGGGUUUAUAUGCAUGAACAAUGCUGACUGAUAUGAACGUGAGAAUAAAUACAUGCAUAAAUAACUAUAACUAAACUUGUGGUAAUACUAACUACUGAAUCUGAAUGUUGACAAGAUGAGUGUACUGAUACUAGAUACUGAAUAGAUGAAUGACUAUUUCUGAUAGUUCGAAUUAUGAAGAACUGGUCUGAUUGACUGUGUCUAACAGUCCUAAAAUUGAAUACUGCUAACAUGAGUUCUGUGAACUGAUAUAAAUAAUAACAUGAGUGACUAUAUCUAACAGUCUAGAUUAUGAAGGAACUAACUGAGUUCCAUUCUGUAUAAAGUAACUAAACUGAGAUCGGUCCUAUCUAGCGGGUAAUCUCUGAGUAUAAUAAUAAUAAAGAUGAUUUGACUUAGUCUGAGAUCAGUCCUACCUAGCAGGUGAUCUCUAAAUCUGAUGAUACUAAUACUGAUUGACCAUAGUGGAGAUCAGUCUUACUAGUGGGUGAUCUUGGACUCUAUUAAUAAUGAUAAGGAUUGACUGUAUCUAACAGUUUUGAAUCUGUACUACUAACCUGAAUUGACUGUAUCUGACAGUCCUGAUUCUAUAACUAAAACUGUGGGAUGUAUUCAUCUAACCGACAUGCCCCUUUCUAGCUAGUCUGAGGUCCAACCUGUAACCCCAGUUGUAAGGGUGUCAGUACCGCGUCAUUGGUAAAGAAAACUGUUGUAGAGUCUGUCCUAAUCUAGUGGGUGACCCCUAGGAUCAAUCAUAUACAUUUAAAUAUGCUAAUGGUUGAUCCCUGAGUAUGUCAGUCCUACCUAAUGGGUGACAUCUCGUACCUACGCUAGCUACAUUGUUCUGGAACUUAGGGAUUGCUUCUAGAGAUCUCAGUCCUAUCUAUUGGGUGAUCCCCCAUCCCUAGGCUCGCUCGGUGCUGAAUCCUACUCCCAACUGAAAAACACUGAACUGAUUUACUAAACUGAACUGGACUAAGUUCCGUUAUCUACAAAAUACUGAUUGAUUACUACUGAACUCUACUAGCUGACUGAGUUUACUGAAUUUGCUGGAUUUCACUGACUGACGAAAAUAUUACUGAGAUCUGAUGACUGACUGAGAGUAUUGAGAUUAUAAAUAUUUCUAGGAAUACUGAGGUUACGGAGAUUUAUAAGUACUGUGAUCACUGAGAUUUCUGAACUACUGAGAUUACUGAGAUUUUUGAGUUUUCCUAAGUCACAUGACUGACUGAAUUCUAUAGAUCAUGGCUUGGUAGAGAGUAUUAUGAUAACAUAACAUGGCUCUAGGCACACAACUAUAUUUUUCGGGUACAAGUACCCCCAGGACUCGAUGGAAGGAACCUGACACACAUGACACUUCUUGAUUAUAGGAAUAGAAUCCACAAUUCAUAAUACCAUAAAUAGGGGAUUUCAUACUACACAUGGUUCUCAACAUCGUAUGCAUGGAAGGAAAAGGCAUCUCGUUGAACUUCCUUAUGCUCCUGGCUUCGAUGAACAAAACAUCCCUACUAAAGCCAGACCCAUCCAAAUGAAUCACGAGAUGAUGGAGAUCUGUAAAACAGAAAUCAAUCACCUUCUCAAGAAAGGAAUCAUUCGACCUUCAAACUCCCCAUGGAGUUGUUCAGCAUUCUAUGUAAACAACAGUGCUGAAAAGGAAAGGGGAACACCCAGACUCGUAAUUAAUUACAAACCCUUAAAUGCUGUCCUCAAAUGGAUUAGGCAUCCAAUCCCUAACAAAAGGGAUCUUCUGAAACGAACUUAUAAAGCUAAUCUUUAUAGCAAGUUCGAUAUGAAAUCCGGUUUCUGGCAAAUCCAAAUUGCCGAAAAGGAUAAAUAUAAGACAGCAUUCAAUGUCCCUUUCGGACAUUAUGAAUGGAACGUUCUACCCUUUGGGCUUAAAAAUGCCCCUUCCGAAUUUCAGAAUAUUAUGAAUAACAUUUUUAAUGAUUAUUCUUAUAUGUCCAUUGUUUACAUUGAUGAUGUAUUGAUCUUCUCUGAGAAUAUUGAUUCUCAUUUUAAACAUCUUAACACUUUCUUUAAGAUUGUAAAAUUAAAUGGUUUGGUAGUAAGCGCUAAGAAGAUGCAACUCUUUCAAACCUCCAUCCGAUUUCUAGGACAUAAUCUACACCAAGGAAGUCAAAAGCCCAUCUGUAGAGCUAUUGAAUUCUCUACCAAAUUUCCUGACGAAAUUACGGAUAAAACGCAACUUCAAAGAUUCUUAGGAAGUCUAAAUUAUGUUGCUGAUUUUAUUCCUAACAUUAGACAGGUCUGUGAACCUCUUUACCAACGUCUUAAGAAGAACCCAGUUCCAUGGGGUCCUGAGCAAACUAGAGCAAUCGUCAAAAUUAAGUCUCUAGUAAAAAACCUUCCUUGUCUAGGUAUCCCCAAUCCAGAUGCCUUCAUGAUUGUUGAAACAGAUGCCUCAGACCUAGGAUAUGGAGGUAUACUGAAGCAAAGAGUCACUACUACUUCUUCAGAACAAUUAGUGCGUUUUACCUCAGGAAUAUGGAAUUCAGCCCAGAGGAAUUACAGUACUGUCAAGAAAGAAGUUUUAUCUAUAGUGCUAUGUAUCACUAAAUUCCAAGAUGACCUUNNNNNNNNNNNNNNNNNNNNNNNNNNNNNNNNNNNNNNNNNNNNNNNNNNNNNNNNNNNNNNNNNNNNNNNNNNNNNNNNNNNNNNNNNNNNNNNNNNNNNNNNNNNNNNNNNNNNNNNNNNNNNNNNNNNNNNNNNNNNNNNNNNNNNNNNNNNNNNNNNNNNNNNNNNNNNNNNNNNNNNNNNNNNNNNNNNNNNNNNNNNNNNNNNNNNNNNNNNNNNNNNNNNNNNNNNNNNNNNNNNNNNNNNNNNNNNNNNNNNNNNNNNNNNNNNNNNNNNNNNNNNNNNNNNNNNNNNNNNNNNNNNNNNNNNNNNNNNNNNNNNNNNNNNNNNNNNNNNNNNNNNNNNNNNNNNNNNNNNNNNNNNNNNNNNNNNNNNNNNNNNNNNNNNNNNNNNNNNNNNNNNNNNNNNNNNNNNNNNNNNNNNNNNNNNNNNNNNNNNNNNNNNNNNNNNNNNNNNNNNNNNNNNNNNNNNNNNNNNNNNNNNNNNNNNNNNNNNNGACCUUCGCCCAAGCAGUAAAUCCUGCUGCAGCAAAAGUUAUUCCUCCCUCUCCUGCUAAAGAGGAAUUCAAAUUCGUUACUUCCACGGUACUGCCUAUCAUUGCUUUAGAUAAGGCUUACGAAGGAUAUCCAAUCAAUCAGCUGGUCAAACCGGUAUAUACUAACAACAACUUUGUGGAUACAGAAGAUCCACUAAAAACCCGGAGAUAUUAUGAAGCUAUUCUGGUCGAUACAGAUUCGAUCGAAGUUGAACAUUCACUGGAUAAUAAUAAUCCAGAUUAUAUUAGUUAUUCAAAAUUCACCAUAAAAAGGAUAUUAACUCCUUUUAAUUGGUUUGUUGAUCACUUACAUACCCCCGUUGCUCUAUCAAUGCCGCAUAGGCCCCAGACCUACAAUUGGCAUGAUUACAGAGCAGCCUGGUUUAAUUUCAUUUAUGUUCGCCCAGGACAUACUUGGUUUGUUAAAUAUUGCCCUGCCAUGAUGGAAGCCACUAUACCUAGAUGGUUCUAUGAAUGGUGGACCUGCUUCGGGGGAACUAAAGAUGUUCUCCCCCAACAAUUUCUUAACAGAUUUCCAGACUUCCUAGUAAAGGAAGGUUGCUCCACUUUGCCUGAGCACAUUCAAAUGUGCAAAUUCUUUAUAAAGAAAAGAGUAUCAUAUAUUAUUUCCUGGAACUUCUCUAAAGAAGAGCAACACAGGAUCAAAUACUUAUCCAAGGAGAUCAAAAUCAAAGGUUGGACUCCAAAGCCAACCGCUCCCAAAACUCCAGACAAAGAAAAAGCUGCCACAACGGCUUCCCCCCAUUCCUCUACUUCAAAGAAAGUUUUAAAAGAAAAAUUAAAACAAGCACUGGCCAAACUAGAUGGACCAGACUCUACAGACAACACCGAAGAGUUGUUACAACUUAUCGCUGAAGCAUCCUCAAUCGGAAGCAGUAGUGACAAUGGCGAUAUGCUAGACCCCAAAGGGAUAGCUCUAGCCUAUCUGGAUCCCUAUUAAGAAUAGGGAAAUAAUCUUUCCAAGAGAUAGAGGUCCAAAGGGCCGGAAUUACCUCUUGAAAAGACAAUUCACUAUUCCUAAAAGGAAUCCAGCUGUCUCACUAAUAGACAAGAAGAACAAGCUCUGCUUUUCAAAAAGCAAGCAUCAUUUCAGACACUGCUUUUCAAAAGCAGCCACUACUGGUUCUGCUUUUCAAAAAGCAAGCAUCAUUUCAGACAUUGCUUUUCAAAAGCAGCCACUUACUUUUGUCGGCAACAUCUUAGCCGUCCACCUGUAUUAAAUCUAGUACACUUGAUGUAUUUCGUUUGCCUAUAAAAGGCCACACUCCCCUUUAGAGAAGGCAUUCAGAAAUUUCCCCAAUACGAAAUUCUCUCUGCCCAUUCUCUUAAAGCUCUCUUGUAAUGUUUUCUUGAAAGUUUCUAAUAAAAUUUGUAAGUUUGUUUCUACUUCUCUUAAUCUUAUUGUUUUACUCACAAUAAUCUAACUAUUAAAUAAAUAGUAUCUACGAUCCGUUUUCUUGGUAUCAAAGCCAUGUUGGCAGGUUAUUUGUUUAACAUGAGCAGCUAAACAAAUAAUCUGUCUAGAGCAUGAGCUAAAUUAUAUUUAUAAAAGAGCAUGUUAUUUUAAUCUAAGUAUGCUUUACCUAAAUAUUUAAUUAUGUUAUUAUGUCUUGUCUUAUAAUGGGGUUUUAAUGCAAGUUCGGGGUUUCUAUUUACUGGUUAAGUGUUUGACAGAACCGAUUAAUCUCCGGUGAGGACGUUGGUCAGCCUGAAAGUAUAGGUCGUUAAGCUUAGGAGAAGCGCGUUAGACCUUGUUUGGUGGUCCCGUCACUGAGAAAACACUUAGCAGUCCUUAGAGUAAUGCCAUUAAAACUUGUUAAGAUCCCAUAAGCCAUAGAUGUAUUUGCAUAAUUAUAUUUGGUUACUGCAUACUUGGUUUCAAUAACAUGUCUGUUUUAUAAAUACUUAUUUGCUCUGUUAGUCUCUAGGCAACCUUGUUUAAACUAUGAACAGUCAUGUUAAAAACACUGUUAACCUUUCUUCUUCGGCAACUCCGAUUGCCACUAUCGAAAAUGAUCUUCAAAACUGGAGCAUUCCAGAAGAAUCUUUCAAUACUAUUUAUCAAAUAGGGAAAUUUAGUUUUUUGAAAAAACAUAACAUCAAGACCUCUGAGUCUACUGUUGCCAUUAAUAAUUCUUUGGAAAUUAUUCAAUUGCUCAACGAAUUAGAUAUAAACAGAUUUAAAAAUCAGUUUAAUUAUCUGCAUGUUGGACUUGUUCAAGUAGCUAUUAAGCCACUGUUCCGACAAGGAUUAGACAUCCCUGUCUGUGCUCUUCUACGAGAUGCUCGUCUAUUAAAUUUUGACGAUUCGCUCUUAGGAGUAAUCCAAAGUAACCUCGCCGACGGCCCGGUAUACUUUAACUGCUACCCAAAUUUCUCGGUCGAUAUCAAUGAUCCUAACAUCAUGGACGUUUUAACACUAAAUGUUAAAACUAAAAACAUGAACAGUAAGGAUAAUACCCGAGAAAUAGCGAUCAUAUACAGAGUAUAUUAUCGACUCAUGGGUACUNNNNNNNNNNNNNNNNNNNNNNNNNNNNNNNNNNNNNNNNNNNNNNNNNNNNNNNNNNNNNNNNNNNNNNNNNNNNNNNNNNNNNNNNNNNNNNNNNNNNNNNNNNNNNNNNNNNNNNNNNNNNNNNNNNNNNNNNNNNNNNNNNNNNNNNNNNNNNNNNNNNNNNNNNNNNNNCGGAGUUACUCCGAAAGAUCUCAGAUCGAACGGGUUAUUCAACACCCAGAUGGAUCUAUAGAUCUAAAAUUCUUAGGAGUCGACCCUUCUCGACUCUCUUCAUCUCGAAGGUCCGUCUCCUCAGGUGCCUCUUCCUCUAAAAACCAACGUGAACCUAAUGAUCACGACGGCCCCGAUGAUAAGGGAAAGAUUAGGGGAGUUGACUACUCCGGUCUUGAAAGGGGAAGCUUUAAUGACUUCGUUAGAGUAGGAAAUAUUGAGUCCUUCUAAAGGAGGAGUGGUGGAUUCGACUACGGUGUUUCGCUGAGUAUACCAUUUGGUAACGAUGGCGAGUCAUUAUUGCAGUCAGGACGGAUCAUAACUUUGAUCAGGAAGGUAUCCUUAUACCAUCUGAAGUCUGCAAGAUUUUUGCAGCGAAGGUUAUUAAGGAUUUCUAGACUUCUAUCUUGAAAGAGUUUUGGUUCUCCUACAAAGUGUCUAGCUAUGUGGUAGAGGAGAGUUGCACAAGCAUCUUCUUGUGCUUCUUGAACUACGGUUUCUCGACCAUCUACGGUGCGAGCAACCUGUUCAAUAGCUGUAGCAUUGUAAAUGAGGUUCUUUUCGUCCUCAGAAACAUAAUUGUCCCACCAAUGUUUGAGCAUACCGGUGAAUCCCGAGACAACCAUGGUGGCGGCUCCUUUGUCAGAGAAACCUUUAAUUUUGUAGGCUGUGAUAGCCACGGCAAUCUCAUGGAGUUUAUUGUAGAUUUGGUGUUCGGCCAAACCAUCAAUAUUCCAUUCGGUUAUGACUCGUCCAUCAUGACUGGAUGUGGAGAGGAAAGGAUUUUCUUCGAAUUGGACAUCCGGAGGAGAAGGUUUUCGGUAAUAGUUUUUUCUAGUGGAAAAUCAAUCACUAGAAAGUUUAGAGAGAGAGUUCUUUUCUUUAGAACUGGAAGCAUCUUUAGAGCUAGAGGGCUCUUGAGAGAUUUUGAACUUGGUGAGUUUGGAAUUAAUUUUUUCCAAGAUUUGUUCUGACAAUUUAAAAUCGUCAUUCAGAUUUGGAAACUUAUCUUUAUGAAACUCUGGGAGUUUAAAGAUAGGGUUGGAAAGAGGUUUAGAGCAUGGAGUGCUCUUGGUUGGUAAUGGGGCAGAAAGGGGAGGACUUUUGGCGUCCUCUAAUAUUUUAGUGUAAAUGGAGAAAAAUUCCGUGUUUUUGACUUAUAUAGGGUGGGAAAUUGACCAAAUUACCCCUCAAGGCACGAAAAUAGAAUGCUAAAAAACUGGACAAAAGCCUAUAGCCAGGGUGGGGCCUUGAUAUUCCCCCGCUCUAUCCAGGGCGACACCUUGCUAUAACGGUGGAGUUUCCAGGGCGGCGCCUUGGCUACAACGGUGCUAAAAGAUGGGCGACGCGGGCUAAAUACCUUUUGCUACUGGUUUGGAAAUCCAAACAUGCCCUUACGAUAUUCGAAAAAUUCUGAAAUUUACCUAGGAUGUACUAAGGCCUUGCCCCAUCGUAAUACAAUUUGAAAAUCUAAAAUCGAAGGUCGGAAAGAUCAUCAACUAAAUCUCCAAAGUUCAGAGGUCUAAAAUAAGACUAAGUGUUGAACACUUAGCAAAAUUUUCUAAGUCUAGGAGCUUGUAAAGCCUAAUGAGAUGAAUUUUAGACCUAGGAUUUUACGGGGUAUUACACUCGAACAACAAGAACAUCCAAUCGGCCACACUUGUUCACAACAUAAUUUUAACAAGUUCAAGCUCAAAUCUAGAUCUAGACUCAAAGUUCUAGUGAACAAGAAAACCAACCCUUUGGAACAACUAAAAAAAACAAAAGACACCAAGAUCUAGACACCACAACUUAGCCAAGACAACAACAAGAAGAACAACAAUUUCUGGAAUUUUCAGCUUUUCAAUAAUUUUUUUUGAUUUUCUAAUAAGCAAGCCCAAGAUUGAUCUUGCUGAUCAAGCCAUGCUUUGAUACCAAAUGAUAUAAUAAAAGCUAGGAAGGCACGAAACACACUCCAAAACAGUCUACGAAUCUUAAAAAUUCGAGGAUCUUUUUGGAGACCACUCUCAAAAUUCACUACCAACAACAAAAAUACAAGAUAUAAUGGUGUAUUUGACACCAAACAACCACAAAAUGUUAAGAACAAGGAGAUAACAACAACAACAAGUCAUGAUUUCACUAGAAACAAGAACAAAUGAUUAUAAGUUACAAACACUAACAAGAUUACAAUAAAAGUAAAGGGAUAGAAAGAUAGACCAAUGGUUGGUAUAAUAUUAAAAAACCAAGUGCUUAUUCUACUCUUGGACCCUUAACACGACACACAACAAAUACCUAUCUCUUACGUGACACUAGAUCGGAUUCCACCUCUCAAGCCAUCGAUGUUUUCAAGUAAAACACAAUCACUAGUGAAUCUGCACUAGUUUUUUAUCCUAGAUUCAGGUGGGCACUCUUAUCUACUAGAGAAAGAUCUUUUUACAAGAGUUCUACACUCACAAAUAUAUUUAAAAACUAAGUAAUGAAACCCUACAUUGUUCUUUAUAUAGUCUAUUACAUAAUAAAAACUAAAUGAUGAAAUGGCCCUUAAGUGACGGGCGCCUAUCAAGUGUAGCUAGGUAUAGUGUUUGGACAAUUUUUGGUGUAUAAUUAGGUCCUCUUUUUCUCUUCAAUUGUACACACCAAGUCUCAGACCCAACAUACACUCUCAUAAGUCUAAAUCCAUAAUUAUUCUUUUAUCAUACCUCCAGCUAGAGAUGGUGCAUGGGGCUACUCGGGUGGUUCUCAAGGUUCUAGUGAAGUCCUCGGGCAGAUAGGGUAGGUUGUCGGGUAGGCACAUAGUCUGGAUAUGGGAAGGGUCAUCUAUAUGUUGUUCCUAGUAAGUUGGAGGUUGAGGCUUCAGAUGUUGUCAUUUUAUCUACGAUUUUUGUAUGCAAUCAACCAACUUCUUCUUUAUUUGAUCAAGGCUCCGCAUAUUCAUAUUCUUCUACCUAUUAUGCAUCUCUAUCGGUGCUGUCUUAUGAGAUAUUAUACGUGCCCAUGUGUAUGGCUACUUCCGUG
rnacentral:lncRNA from 1 species